rnacentral:lncRNA from 1 species
GGCAGAUGAGAUGCAGUACAACCCAUUUAGAGUCACUUGAAGCUAUUCGCUGGCAACAACUAUAGUAAACUGGGAUAUGGCAAUACAUUCUGCAGGAUGGCCUGAACACACUGACCAUCUCUUCACUACAGAGCCAGGAUAUAUCAAAGCUAAUUCUCAGCAUCGUCUCCAAUUGACUGUACUUAAAAAGAGAAGAAAGAACCUAUUCCUAUAGUGUUAUAAACUAAAAGACGGACUUAUAAGAUGCAAAGGUGAGCAUUUAGAUUGACUAAUUCGGAAAGCAUUAUGUGUUUUGUUCUAUAAGUAAAUAACAGAAAUGAUUAGCAACAGUAUCUAUGGUUGACAAUGUGAAUGUACAUCCAGCACUGAAAUUAUGUUCUUUUGGUUCUGAGGGUUUCCCUGUCUUUCUCCCCAGAUGUUAGAUAUAGCUUAAGCAUUUCCCUCUACUUGCAAGGGGAAAAUUGCUCCUACCUCCACCUUCCCCAUUCUAUAAAGCUUUCCUUUUCACAGAACAAAGAAAAAUCAUUGUCUCUAAUCUUCUUUUAAAAUACAGGAGACAAAUUUUAGACAUAAAGCAAAGGAUUACCAGCCUGAAAUCUUCAUCACCAAAGGAAUUAGAAAACAAGAAGGACUCUAAGAGAAAAAUGCAUGGACCCCGGAGAAGGGGAGGGAGCAGGAUCUCAUGAGCUAAUUUGGGGGGC